AUACGAAGGGGACUAGCGUUGCUCGGAAUGACUGGGCGUAAAGGGCGCGUAGGCGGUUUAGUGAGUUGGGCGUGAAAUUCCCGGGCUUAACCUGGGGGCUGCGUUCGAUACCACUAGGCUUGAGUGUGGAAGAGGGUCGUGGAAUUCCCAGUGUAGAGGUGAAAUUCGUAGAUAUUGGGAAGAACACCGGUGGCGAAGGCGGCGACCUGGUCCAUUACUGACGCUGAGGCGCGAAAGCGUGGGGAGCAAACAGGAUUAGAUACCCUGGUAGUCCACGCUGUAAACGAUGUGUGCUGGAUGUUGGGUAACCUAGUUACUCAGUGUCGUAGCUAACGCGGUAAGCACACCGCCUGGGGAGUACGGCCGCAAGGUUGAA
rnacentral:rRNA from 1 species